AUUGAACGCUGGCGGCAGGCUUAACACAUGCAAGUCGAGCGGGGUGAUGGUGCUUGCACUAUCACUUAGCGGCGGACGGGUGAGUAAUGCUUAGGAAUCUGCCUAUUAGUGGGGGACAACAUCUCGAAAGGGAUGCUAAUACCGCAUACGUCCUACGGGAGAAAGCAGGGGAUCACUUGUGACCUUGCGCUAAUAGAUGAGCCUAAGUCGGAUUAGCUAGUUGGUGGGGUAAAGGCCUACCAAGGCGACGAUCUGUAGCGGGUCUGAGAGGAUGCGCGGCCACACUGGGGCUGGGACACGGCCCAGACUCCUACGGGAGGCAGCAGUGGGGAAUAUUGGACAAUGGGGGGAACCCUGAUCCAGCCAUGCCGCGUGUGUGAAGAAGGCCUUAUGGUUGUAAAGCACUUUAAGCGAGGAGGAGGCUCUUUUGGUUAAUACCCAAGAUGAGUGGACGUUACUCGCAGAAUAAGCACCGGCUAACUCUGUGCCAGCAGCCGCCGUAA
rnacentral:rRNA from 1 species